rfam:Trichosporon oleaginosus strain IBC0246 unplaced genomic scaffold CC85scaffold_51, whole genome shotgun sequence.
GGCAACUUGGCGGAGUGGUUAACGCGAUUGACUCGAAUGUCUUGAGACGUCGAUCAAUUUCCUUCGGGAGCGCAUGUUCGAGUCAUGCAGUUGUCG